GAGAAGGGGGUGGUUGGGAGAAGACUGUGCCAAAGAAAUGGAAGUGAUCUGAAGAACAGGGAUAAGUAAGCGCCCACGGGUCCUCGCUGUAUACAGAACCCUGAUGAAAAUGAGGUUCCAAAGAGGAGUCAAAGACACCGAGGGAAGGGGGCAGAUAGAGCGGUGCCAGGCGUGAACUGACCCAAGUGAGCUGGGAGACGUGCCUACUGAUAGCAGGGAGCCAAGCAGGAGAGGGACAGACAAGUCAAGGAACUGGGAGACCGAGGCACCAAGCGGACCAUCCAAAGCAGGGAGAUUACUAGACAGCAGGCUUGGAUGGGAGAACCAAAGUCAGAGAAGGAAAAAUGAAUGAGAAAAUGAGCAGUCAGAAGCAACUAGGGUGACGGACAGACGGCGUGAAGCGCAGCGCAAUGAAUAGCAAGAAGACUUGGACAGACAGAGCCGAAGGACCGCAGAGCUCAGCGCUAGAGUUUGGCUUUCAGACCCAGCCAAAGACCCUAGGAGGGUCAAAGAGAACACUUUCCUCCCCUACAGGAACAGCAAGCAUAGUGUGUGUGGACCAGAAGGAGACCAGAGCACAGAGACAGCUGGAGUCCUGAGGACCUGUCCACGAUUCCACCUGGUACUCAUCGGAUUUAGCCAGGUAAGGAAUUUCCUCCGCCCACCACCACCAUUGUUUCUACAAGAACAAAACGGGUAAGAACAUCUACCUGGAAAAAAUGGAAAAGGUCCACACGUUCAGAGAACCAAGGCCU